AUUGGACCGAACACGACCGAGGCUAAAGUGCUGAUUGAUCAUCAUCAGCGAGUAAGAUGUACGACGCUCUAGUAAACGUGACGAUGGAAAUUGAAAGAACUGUGUAAAAAGUUCAACCUGUCCAGUGAAUCACCAUGAGAAUAUCCCUUUGGUUGUACGGGCCUGUAAACACUUGGCGCCGAGUUUCCAGCCAUAUGAUCAAUCAACCAUGACGAACCAAACGUUGACAAACCAACUAGGGAAGCAUUAAAAUGCUCUGCGAAGCCGAUGAGAGCGUCUGAAUGCGUUGGUUCCAGGACGAUCAUGUCGAAGUGCUCGGAUUUAUUAUGUAGCAGCGACUGCACUCCUAAGUCGCUGAGAAUGCCGUGUGACAUGUUGUAAUGAAAGCUGGAGGCUACUAAAGAUUCCUUCCAUUUGCUGGCUGACCACGCUGUAUAAUCAAAGGUCAAUACAACUGCAAGUGUGUAGAACACCGAAGGUUCUUCAGUGAUUCUUAGAAACUCUUUCAAGAUAAACUUCACAACAAUCACGCAGAUGAAGAGAACGAGAAUUGUAGACAAUGCAAUACGACCGAAGAGUAUCGAGAAUAUGUUGAGUUUAUAAUAAGGAACAAAUGCCAUGUCCUGAUCCGUCAUUCGCAUGUGAGGAGCUCCCUUGUGCCUUAGUACAUAUUCUGUCCACCAGAUGGCGCUCUCGAUGGGACUUUUUGGCU